GGGGAAUAUUGGACAAUGGGGGUAACCCUGAUCCAGCCAUGCCGCGUGUGUGAAGAAGGCCUUCGGGUUGUAAAGCACUUUAAGCGGGGAGGAAGGCCUGAUGGCUAAUAUCCAUCGGGAUUGACGUUAUCCGCAGAAUAAGCACCGGCAAACUUCGUGCCAGCAGCCGCGGUAAUAUGAAGGGUGCGAGCGUUAAUCGGAAUUACUGGGCGUAAAGCGCGCGUAGGUGGUUAAGUAAGCGAUCUGUGAAAGCCUCGGGCUUAACCUGGGAACUGCAGGUCGAACUGCUUGGCUAGAGUAUGGUAGAGGGGUGUGGAAUUUCCUGUGUAGCGGUGAAAUGCGUAGAUAUAGGAAGGAACAUCAGUGGCGAAGGCGACAUCCUGGACCGAUACUGACACUGAGGCGCGAAAGCGUGGGUAGCGAAC
rnacentral:rRNA from 1 species